rnacentral:tRNA from 1 species
GCCUUUGUAGCUUAGUGGUCUAAGCACCUGUCUGAAGAACAGGGGAUGAAGGUCCGAUUCCUUCCGAAGGCA